rnacentral:rRNA from 1 species
AUGGCGACGAGGACCGCGGCGAGUACGACGCCGAGGAGGUCGGCCGCGGCGUCCCUGAGCGAGGCGCCAGAGGACCCGAAGAGGCGGGUCUCGUCGGCGGCCUCCUUGGCGGCGCCGACGGCGAGGGAGGCGGCGCAGCCGAGGGCCAGCGCCCGGCGGCGGAGGAAGGGGCGGGAGCUCCGGCCGGCAAGCGCGGCGGCGGCGAGGGCGAUGAGGAGGCAGGCGAGGACGUGCUGCAGCUUGUCCGGGGCGAGCCACUCGUCGCCCCACUCCAUCAGUCAGCCGCCGCUACCUGUGUCGAUGCAGUGGAAUGUCUCUCUGUAUGUCUCUCUCAAAGCAGAACUCUUAUAG